AUGCCAUUGAAGCGAGAGCUCCUCCCAAGCCAGGUUUAUGUAGAUCUGCACCAUGUGACCUGGGUUUUCUUCUUGCAGCUGACUGGAGAACUAAGUGCUUGCUAUGCAACACAGAUUGCAUAUUUGGAAAACAAGUCUAUAUCUACAUGGCUGUAUGGAUUGAGAACAGGUAAGAUAUUAUAUCUCAUCAGAAUGUGUGGCUGUCAAAACUACUGUGCAUGCUGAUAAAUUUCAAGGUUUUAAAAGCACACUGUAAACAGCACCUAGUAAUAACAAAAGUAGAAAUGGUUGUGGGGGGGAAUUCUACAUGAAAAGGAAAAAAUGUGCAAUCUUCAACUAAGCAGAAAAUUAGUUUUCUCCUCAUGUUAUUCUAGCAGACUGGCAAAACAGCCUUCAUUUAUUUAGUCUUUUAAUAUGCAAAUGAUAAACAGAAGCCUAUAUUUGUGGACAUAAAAUCAUUUUAUACUGUACAAAUGAUUGCACAUUAACAUCAUUAGCAGUGACUGUACCUCCACUGUGCUAUUGUUCUGCAAACACUUCAGAAGACAUAAAUUCUUAUCUAUCCACUGUGACUUCUAAAUUUUGAGUUUUUCAGGGACAAAAUUGCUUUUGUCAAGACAGAUAUUUCUGGAGCUAACCUAUCCUUUUGUGAAGAUAAAUGUUAAAUGACAAAAGUGAGUUGUCUUUCCUUAGCAGAAUACUGGUAUAUAAAAGAUACAAAUGACGCUGAAUCCUCACUUCCUCGUGUUAUGGCUUCUAUGUGCAGGAACCUUAUACUCAUGUGGGCUUUUAAAUUAACAGAAACCACACAUAACAGUACAUUCCUGAUUGGCUGUACAAGAUAAAUGAUAAGCAACUACUAUAAGGAACACAGAUAAUGUCCUCUUGACCUUCUCCAAUAAAUGAGUUUCUGUGCCUUGUGCACUUCUGUGAGAAGAUCACCUUCCUUUAAAAUAUUAAGAUCAAUCAAAACUACUAAGUUUAAAAUGCUUAUGUGAAAGUCAGCACUGAGGAAAGGCUAAUGUGAUAUGGAGCAUGAAGUUUUAGAAAACAAGCAAAAUUCUCAUUAUGUGAUGUGAUCCUGGUCUUAUUCUCUUGCUUCUCUUCACUGUAGAUCCUUUGUAAUCCAUUUUUCUGAAUCUUUAAAGGAAAGAGUUAUCUUUUACUUCUUGGAUGGUAUGUAUCUUCCUUAAACAACUGCAUCUCAGUGUCGUCUUUGAACUAUCUUUGUUUUCAACUGCAUUAUAUGUAUUAUACCCCAGUAAGAGUGAUAACCUACUGCAGAUCUCUGAUAAUUGAUACCCAUUCUGCACGCAUUCUUAAAAAGCAGCAACUUUCACUUUUCUUGCUUUAAAAAUUUGAUUUUAAAUUGUGGGUUUUCUGUGCAGAAAUGGUGUAUGGUCCCAUAUGUAUAAUUUUCCAACAGAGAAGCAAGAUAUGACUUAAAAAAAGGUGAAUGAAGAAAUCCCAACACAUUCCGCAGUGACCUCUCUGCUUUCAAGGAAAGGGAUGAAUGUAUUGCUGUUCAACCAUCUUUGCUUCCUUUCAGAAAACAAAGGAUAUCAGAGACUCUGCUUAAAUGUUGGGUACUGCAGGCUUCAGCCGAGAGGUGGCGUUAAGAUGCAAUGCAAUGUUGUCUUAGCAAUAAAAUAUUAUCCGUUUUAACAGUAGUAUGACUGAUGCCUAGAGGUACACAAACCAGGUAAGGAAAUAGCAAAUACACUGUAGGUGAGCAAAGUAAUUCGAUGGGCCAUUGGUCUGAGUUGGGACUGAAAAACUAGAGUAACUUAUGCCUUAAGUAACCACUUGUAAGGCAUACCAAAGAUUCUUACACUUUGCAAAUCAGAAUUCAACUGUGCAAACCUGAAUCAGCAGCUGGAUACAGCUACUAUUUUAAAUAUUAGGUAAGAUACUUAGACGCUUGAGGGUUUAGAACUAGAUGAUCUUUAAGGUUCCUUCCAACCCAAGCCAUCCUAUGAUUCUGAUAUUAUUAUCUUAACUGUACUUGGAAUGAUGCAUUUUUUUUAGGCAUGCCUCCUCAUCAUAAAAAAGACAAGUAUUUACAAACCAAACAAAUGAAGCCAGACCUAAUUUGAAAACAAAACUAUACUCGCAUUUAACACUGGAAUGCAAACUCUUUGGUGCAGAUGAAUCAACAACAGCUGUAUUAACAAAUGAAGGUUCAAUCCAUUGAAACACUAGUAUUUCAAAUAUUCUUACAAAAAAGGGAUAUGGAUGAAACUGGUGAUAUCAAGGUGUUGAAUUCCUCAUAGAAAUACGGUACUGGUAUACAUAAUGUUAGCAGGUCUGCAAGCCAUCACAUCCUUUUUUUUUUUCCCCUAGUUCAUUUAUAGUGUUUUCUGUCUGUUUCCUGCAAUUAUCUUGCCCAACAGUGAGCUUUCAAAACCUAGCAUAGAUGAAAUGUAAUCAAUUCAGUUGAGUUACACUAUAUUAAACUAACUGAGGGUUUGACUCCUUGUCUUCAUCUGAGUGAAAGUGCCUUAGAAAUGCUAUUGUUGAUUCAGUAUUAAACCUGGGUCUGAAUUUUGUGGUUGUAGACCAUGUUUACCUUGGUAUAGAAAUAAGAAUUAGUGCAGCUAACGUUACUAACUUUCUUUUUAGUUUAUAAGUCAAAAAAAGCUGUGUACAUCUUAUUUCAAUAUCAGUUGUUAGUCAGAAAGUACUUCAGGAAUGACUAGCAUGGCUAUUAUCAGUCAUCAGAAACCUCCAAGUGAUGGUAUAACAAGGAUAUUCAGGUUAUUCCUAGACUGAAUAUCAGAACUGAGUAUCAGUUUUUGAUCAUCUGUCUAUCGGUAGAAGUUAUUUGAUUACAUGAUUAAAUAGGCAUUUCUGUACACUAUGUUUUCUGUUAUUCGGUCAUUUGAUUUUUCUUUGCAAAUGGUGAAAUCAAGUGAGUUUCAAGGAACAAAGCUAUAUCGUACUGCUGCAUACUCGUCAGUAAGUCGUGUGUAUGUAUUGGAGACGGUAUGAAUACUAAUGAAUGAAUACUGUGUCUCAUUGCCUAUACCUAGAGAUAACUGCAAUACAUGGAGAAAAACUAUUUUUGACUGUGAAGGAAGAAGUAAUCACUCAAAAGCACAGUACUCCAGUUGCGUUUGAAGGACACUGACUCCAUUUUCAUCCAAACACUUUAGUGAUUACUGCUACAUGUCACAGCAAAUCAGAGCUUGUACAAGUGCUCCAAACAAUGCUUCAGACAUGCAGGACUAGCUGCUGAUUGGAGUGAGGCCAAAUAAACUGUAUUCAAAAAGCAGCUCUAACUUUAAAAAAAAAAGUAGAAUAUUUAAAAGGGCACUGGAGAAGGCCUCUAAGCAACCCUGAUCAGAUUUUGCAGAGGCAUGAAACCGUAUCAUCUCCUACAAGGAUAUGGAGCAAGUGACAACUCAGCACUUCAGCACAAGGUAUAUACAGACCUUGAUCUCCUUGCAGAAUUACAGUUCUUAAUAUCUAUGAAAGUUCAACUCUGCAAAGAGAAGCUGACUGGAACGAUGAAGCAUUAUAAUAAGGAAAGAGUUUUUUUUUUAAAUAUUUAGAGAUUCCUGCUCUCAUAUGCUCUAAAGCUAACUUUUGAGAACUAUAAUUUCAGAUGGUAAAACAUAAGAAUUAGAAAUUUUAGCCACUGGAAAUUUUGACUGGCAUCUAUGCUGAGAAGACGUUUCCAGCUUAACUGAACUGUGCUAGAGACAUGCAAGACUGACCUGUGAAAAAAACCAAAAACAAAAAAAAUAAACCCAACUGAAAUCUGUUUUGGAACAAAGCACUUGGCUUCUUCUAUGCCAAGAACAUCUUCUGUGUAUUUUCUUUUGAGCUUUAAGAAUGUAAUAAACAACUGAAAAAACAUCUUUGAG
ensembl:lncRNA